rnacentral:rRNA from 1 species
CCUCUGUCUAGAGGGAAGAAACCAUUGGGGUCGAACAGGCCUCUUUGCUGACGGUACCUCUGAAGGAAGCACCGGCUAACUCCGUGCCAGCAGCCGCGGUAAUACGGAGGGUGCGAGCGUUAAUCGGAAUCACUGGGCGUAAAGCGCACGUAGGCGGUGUCGUAAGUCGGAUGUGAAAGCCCUCGGCUCAACCGGGGAACUGCAUUCGAUACUGCGAUGCUUGAGUGCCGGAGAGGGUGGCGGAAUUCCAGGUGUAGGAGUGAAAUCCGUAGAUAUCUGGAGGAACACCGGUGGCGAAGGCGGCCACCUGGCCGGCAACUGACGCUGAGGUGCGAAAGCGUGGGGAUCAAACAGGAUUAGAUACCCUGGUAGUCCACGCUGUAAACGAUGAAUACUAGAUGCCGGAGGUAUCGACCCCUCCUGUGCCGCAGCUAACGCAUUAAGCAUCCCGCCUGGGGAGUACGGCCGCAAGGUUG